GGGCCAUAUUAAUUGGUCUCACAGUCCUUGCUGCUAGUGAGGCUCGGUGUAACCAAGUUUGCGAGCAUAGAGAACAAAGCAACCUACCUCAGACAAAGAAGUGAGCGUUUAUUGAUGAAGAAGCAGUAGUCAAUGGCCAAGUAGCUUGGACUGAAAAUCUUCGAAGGUAAAAUAAUUGUCACGUUUUGCAAAGGAGAAUGCGGUGAUAAAUGAAGCGAAGGAUGGGUUCAGAUUAGCCAGGAUGAAUGACGAAAGAUAAAAAUCAUCCAAUGGUUUCCCAACUGUAGCUAACUAGUUGGCCAUGACCGGGCUAGCACUCGGGAAGGGGGCACAACUACCCGUGCUGGACUCCAUUAGAACUUCAAUAGCCACCGGACACCAGUUGUAGAAGG
rnacentral:lncRNA from 1 species